GGAAGCCAGUGAGAAUCUGGCGCGGUCGCGCCACUGUCACCGUAUGCCAUGCGGGAGCCAGAC
rnacentral:sRNA from 20 species